rnacentral:rRNA from 1 species
UGGGGAAUAUUGCACAAUGGGCGCAAGCCUGAUGCAGCAACGCCGCGUGAGGGAAGACGGUCUUCGGAUUGUAAACCUUUGUCUUUGGUGAAGAAGAAAGUGACGGUAGCCAAGGAGGAAGCCACGGCUAACUACGUGCCAGCAGCCGCGGUAAUACGUAGGUGGCAAGCGUUGUCCGGAAUUACUGGGUGUAAAGGGAGCGUAGGCGGGCAGGCAAGUCAGGCGUGAAAUAUAUCGGCUCAACCGGUAUCUGCGCUUGAAACUGCAGGUCUUGAGUGAAGUAGAGGUUGGCGGAAUUCCUAGUGUAGCGGUGAAAUGCGUAGAUAUUAGGAGGAACACCAGUGGCGAAGGCGGCCAACUGGGCUUCUACUGACGCUGAGGCUCGAAAGUGUGGGGAGCAAACAGGAUUAGAUACCCUGGUAGU